UACGUAGGGUGCAAGCGUUAAUCGGAAUUACUGGGCGUAAAGCGUGCGCAGGCGGUUUUGUAAGUCAGAUGUGAAAUCCCCCGGGCUUAACCUGGGAACUGCGUUUGAAACUACAAGGCUAGAGUGUGGCAGAGGGGGGGUGGAAUUCCACGUGUAGCAGUGAAAUGCGUAGAGAUCGGAAGGAACACCAGUGGCGAAGGCGGCUACCUGGACAGAUACUGACGCUGAGGCGCGAGAGCGUGGGGAGCAAACAGG
rnacentral:rRNA from 1 species